rnacentral:rRNA from 1 species
AUACGGAGGAUGCGAGCGUUAUCCGGAUUUAUUGGGUUUAAAGGGUGCGUAGGCUGUGCGUUAAGUCAGGGGUGAAAUGCCGUCGCUCAACGACGGAGCUGCCCUUGAUACUGGCGUGCUGGAGUACGGAUGCCGUUGGAGGAAUGAGUUGUGUAGCGGUGAAAUGCUUAGAUAUCACUCAGAACACCGAUUGCGAAGGCAUCUGACGAAUCCGUCACUGACGCUGAGGCACGAAAGCGUGGGGAUAGAACAGGAUUAGAUACCCUGGUAUUCCACGCCGUAAACGAUGAUGACUAACCGUCGGCGAUAGACAGCCGGUGGCCAAGCGAAAGCGAUAAGUCAUCCACCUGGGGAGUACGUCGGCAACGAUGAAACUCAAAGGAAUUGACGGGG